rnacentral:rRNA from 1 species
CAGUAGCCGCGGUAAUACGUAGGUGGCGAGCGUUGUCCGGAAUCAUUGGGCGUAAAGGGAGCGCAGGCGGGCAUGUAAGUCUUUCUUAAAAGUUCGGGGCUCAACCCCGUGAUGGGAAAGAAACUACAUGUCUUGAGUACAGGAGAGGAAAGCGGAAUUACCAGUGUAGCGGUGAAAUGCGUAGAUAUUGGGAGGAACACCAGUGGCGAAGGCGGCUUUCUGGACUGCAACUGACGCUGAGGCUCGAAAGCCAGGGGAGCGAACGGGAUUAGAUACCCCCGUAGUCCCUGUCUCUUAUACC